UGGGGAAUAUUGGACAAUGGGCGAAAGCCUGAUCCAGCCAUGCCGCGUGUGUGAAGAAGGUCUUCGGAUUGUAAAGCACUUUAAGUUGGGAGGAAGGGCAGUAAGCGAAUACCUUGCUGUUUUGACGUUACCGACAGAAUAAGCACCGGCUAACUCUGUGCCAGCAGCCGCGGUAAUACAGAGGGUGCAAGCGUUAAUCGGAAUUACUGGGCGUAAAGCGCGCGUAGGUGGUUCGUUAAGUUGAAUGUGAAAGCCCCGGGCUCAACCUGGGAACUGCAUCCCACACUGGCGAGCUAGAGUAGGGCAGAGGGUGGUGGAAUUUCCUGUGUAGCGGUGAAAUGCGUAGAUAUAGGAAGGAACACCAGUGGCGAAGGCGACCACCUGGGCUCAUACUGACACUGAGGUGCGAAAGCGUGGGGAGCAAACAGG
rnacentral:rRNA from 1 species